CCAACACUUCUAGUGGACCGUGUCGAAUCAAGUUCUAGGGUAUUGCAAACCAUUUCUUCCCGCCGUUCUAAUAUAUCCUGGACCACUUCAACAGGUGGUUUUCUUGACGUUUUGUGUGGCAUUUUUUACAAUCUUGAAGACAAAAAGAUCAAGUCUCAAAAUUUGUAACCACAUUUAAAACCGUUUUUGCACAAGGAAUCGGUCUAUUCUCAAAUGUCACUGAAAACAAAUCUCUACGUUGUACUGCCGAGUUGCCUCCAUAAAACCACUUAAUUAGUUGAACUCUUUCGGAAGGGGUAUAAACAGCCAUAGUGAAAAAAAUACGAAAAUAACGCUCAAAAAUUAUUAAUGCAGCGCAAUAUCACUUUGAGGAUAUUUGCUUUAAUUUCAUCACAGUUUUUUUUUUCAUUUUAAGAGAAAGAAUUUUGGCUGCUACACAAAUUGGCAAAAAUUGCCUCCAGAGAAUUAAAACGGAAGGACAGCAUGUAGAUAACAACCAGGCCAGUACUUCUUUUGGAACUCCAACUCAAAAAAGCGUUAGAGCCAAAGGAGUCAUAAAAACAUUGUCCCCCGGAGAUAUUGAAGAGAUUAAAAGUGUAAUCUACAAUUUUUACGUGCUUGAAAAAAGAUCUCCUACUCUAAGAGGAGUACUUCAGAAAAUAAAAGACAAACAGAUUAACUUCUCUGGAUGCCCUGAGACAUUAAGAAAACUGUUAAGAUCUGUUGGAUUUAGAUGGCGAAAAACUGAGGACAAUCGAAGUGUCCUUAUGGAAAGCUAUGAUAUUA